GCUUUUGCUUGUAAUGGUGUUAUAUCCACCACAAGGUGGCGCCUGUCGCUCCCUGAUGAGUCUGGGAGGACUGUGGCGGACGGGAGAGAAACAGGAAGUAGGAGAAGAAAAAUGAGACGAACGUUACAAGAAGCGAGAAAAGCUCAUUGUUUUCUGUGUGAGGAAACUGAAUAAGUCGACGAAAUUCACUAUUUUUUGUUCUUUUGGUUCAAAAGUUGAUAUUUUUGAAGCUACGCCUGUUAUCAAAGGACGGAAGCAGAUGGAUAUUUGAUGUGUCUAUGUGUCUAUUCUCCGGUUGUUUUUUUUUGUGCCUGAUAUCUAAGUGGAGGAAACGGCGACAGGGCGGUUUUCGAGGCGUUGGAGGUGUUCCGGUCGUUGCCAUAACUACGGGAAGAGCCGCUCUGUGGACUGGAUCUGAACUUCGAUUGGAGGACAGAUAAGAUUUCCACACAAGAAAAGAAACACAUAUGGGAAAACAGAAACUGAAAUGACUGAAACUGAACUACUGUGGAAGAAAUUCUGACUGACUUUUAAUUUCUUUUGACUUGACUAAACAACUUAAGAAGCUUCUUUGGGGAAAGGAAAUAUAACUGGAAUUUGUUUAUUUUGUUUAUAAAACCUACUGUGUAGUAAAGAGGAAAAAGUUACAGUUGUACCCGGGUACAGUAAAUUUUAUUUUGUUAAUUAUCUUUAUUCCUAUGUGCUCAAACCUCUCUGGAGGAACAGAGAUGAAUUUAUUUCCUUGCCCAAGUUGUAUCCAUGAGUGACUUUACUGCAGUGCCAUUUGAUGAGGUGACACUUGGUGGGCAGCGACUUGUGACGAAUGGAAAAUGUGAUUAGACCCUUUUUGGAUGAAUAGGAUUUUGACUAUAUCAUAUGUACAUUUUGGAAAAAACAUCAACAUUUCUACAACUGUAUUCCUUGCUCUGUGAUGUAUCUGUAUUAAUCUGUAUGUGCAGUCUGUAGUGUAAGGUUUAGCAUUUUGCAGGAUCCAAUAGAGAAGUGGCUACAUAAAGUAGCCAAAAUCAUGAAGACUGCAGUGUUUGAACUUCAAUGUUUACAAACAGGUUUCUGCUUCACGAUGUCUUCACAUGUCAUAAAUAUGAAGGAAAAAGCUGUUUAAAUUCAUUUUGUGUGAGCGAACUGACAGGACACCCCACUUUGCAAAAGUGGAUAUUUCACCCUGUGAACGCUGUUUGAAGCCAUAAAAUUCAUGAAGACUGCAGAUUUUGAGCCUCAGUGGUUACAAACAUAUUUUUGGUUCAGAAUGUCUUCAGAUGUGAUGAACAUAAAGGCAAAAGCUUUUUCAAUUCAUUGUGUGUGAGGGAAUUGACAGGACACCCACUGUGCAAAAGUGGAUGUUUAAGCCACUGAAAGACUGUUUAAGUAGGAAACAACUGGACGGGAAAUGGCCUCGUGACACCCUGACUCUCUGCCUGUGUGAACUAGCACCAAGCUCAAUUAAAGCAACAAGGAGACACAAAACAAUAUCAACAACAAUAGCAAAAAAAAUAACAAAAUGUCUUCAAACAUAGCAGCUGGUUUAAGUUUGUUCUGUUGGAGGGUUUACCUUGACCUCCCCUUUGUCUCAUAAUUAGUUCAUAUUGAUAAGAGUCUGAUCCACACAGGUACAGAAUCAUUUGAAAAUUAAAACAAAGUUUAAGUAGUGGCACCCUUUGGUUCUCUGCUCUUCAACUGGGAGGAUACUUGAUAAAUGUGGCAGUUGUAUAUACUGUUGUAUAUAUAUUUUGGAAUAUUGCCCAUCGACCCACUUUUAACAGUGUUUUCUUGUACAUUGAAAUUUGAGGCUGUUUGAGAUUGUCUCGUGAACUAAUACACAUAAAAUCCUGACUUGUUAACUGUUA